ensembl:lncRNA
CUUCAGCUGAGUCUGAAGCUGUUAUCAUUUUGAUUUUACUCUUUUAGGUAAGGAAGGAAGCAAUAUAAACAUCUAAAAAGAGGUUAAAACUGCCUUUGCCAUCAUGUGAUUGUGGGGGGGAAAAAAAAAGGAAAUUUACAAAACAUUACGAAAAAUAAAUUUAAUUUAGUUAAAUUUAGGAAAAAGUACUUUCAUUUUACUAAGAAAUUAACUUACUUCCUCCAGUCCCCAAACAUUCUUAUUUAACCUGGAGUACUGGCUUCAUGUAUACUAUAUCUAAUCCUCCUCACAAGAAACACCUCAAAAAAAAAAAAAAAAAAAAAAAAAAAAAAAAAAAAAACCCAGCCACAGGCUGCCCUGCAUCACAGCUUGCUGAUUUUCCUGCAGACAUGCAACUAGGAGAAUUUACAUAAUAGCUCUGAAAUUGCAGGCAUUUUAUGCUUGAGAAGAGAUUGCAAGCAGUGCCUGGUUAAAGCUGUAAGCAAGUAAUGAUGAUGUAUGGGAUCUGAGCAAAGAUCACAGUAAAUUUCUUUCUGUAAAUGACUGAUUAAUCCCAGUUAGAGCUACUAUGGAAAAAUCAGACGUGUGUCUGUUUUUUCCAUUAUAUCCCACACUUGGCUUCUCUCUUAAAGCCUUUCUCCUCUCUACUUUCUCGUGAUUCCUUUGCCACUGUGUUGAGCCCAAGAACUCUGCUUCUGGGUGAGGAAAACAGUCCACCAUUCAUCUCCACUGCCUCUAGCAAUGAAGAAUUGCUAGCUGCUACAGCGGCAUUGGAUUUUAAUGGCAUCCUUGUAAUAGAGAAGGGGAAGUAAUUGACUCCCAACACAAGCUGCAUUGAAAGGACUGCUGCAACAUUUGCUUCUCAACGGAUGAAACAUCACUGAAUGUCAAUGGACCCCACGCAGCCUCCACCUCUGUCUCAUCAGCCUCCGGACAAGACAGCCGGCACAGAAGUGAAAGCAUUACACAGAUCACAGACCUGGCAGAGCUCCACAUCCAGGCUCAGCAUGGCAAGCUGUCAGACCAAUAAAAUAUUUUGAUCUCUAAUACUGUGCCUGAAGGCAAGAGAGUGGCACCACUGCCACCAGCAGCUCUCUCCUCUGGACUGGAGGCACAAGCCUUCACACGGCUUACCAGAACUCACACAGCAAUGUGCCAGUCUUGCUGCAAUCCACUGAGCCCUGCAAUGAAACGUUUUCCUGGUCCCUCCCCCUUUCCUCCUUGCUUAACCCAUGAAACAAAACACUCCUGUUUCCCUUUCUGUCAGACUUGCAGACUACAAGAGCCAUAUUUAAACUCAGAUAAAAUAAGGGCAUGUCCCAUAUGGCCAAAGUGUAAGAUGUCAUUUAAAUAAACUUUCACAAAAAU